CCUACGGGGGGCUGCAGUGAGGAAUAUUGGUCAAUGGACGCAAGUCUGAACCAGCCAUGCCGCGUGCAGGAAGACGGCUCUAUGAGUUGUAAACUGCUUUUGUACGAGGGUAAACGCAGAUACGCGUAUCUGUCUGAAAGUAUCGUACGAAUAAGGAUCGGCUAACUCCGGGCCAGCAGCCGCGGUAAUCCGGAGGAUUCAAGCGUUAGCCGGAUUUAUUGGGUUUAAAGGGUGCGUAGGCGGUCGGCUAAGUUAGAGGUGAAAUCCCGAGGCUCAAAUUAGGAAUUGCCUCUGAUCCUGUUAGGCUAGAGAGUAGUGGCGGUAGGCGGAAUGUAUGGUGUAGCGGUGAAAUGCGUAGAGAUCAUAAAGAACACCGAUUGCGAAGGCAGCUUACCAGGCUACUUCUGACGUUGAGGCACGAAAGCGUGGGGAGCAAACAGGAGUAGAUACCCGGGUAGUC
rnacentral:rRNA from 1 species